GAUGAACGCUGGCGGCGUGCCUAAUACAUGCAAGUCGAGCGAACAGACGAGGAGCUUGCUCCUCUGACGUUAGCGGCGGACGGGUGAGUAACACGUGGAUAACCUACCUAUAAGACUGGGAUAACUUCGGGAAACCGGAGCUAAUACCGGAUAACAUGUUGAACCGCAUGGUUCAACAGUGAAAGACGGUCUUGCUGUCACUUAUAGAUGGAUCCGCGCCGCAUUAGCUAGUUGGUAAGGUAACGGCUUACCAAGGCAACGAUGCGUAGCCGACCUGAGAGGGUGAUCAGCCACACUGGAACUGAGACACGGUCCAGACUCCUACGGGAGGCAGCAGUAGGGAAUCUUCCGCAAUGGGCGAAAGCCUGACGGAGCAACGCCGCGUGAGUGAAGAAGGUCUUCGGAUCGUAAAACUCUGUUAUUAGGGAAGAACAAAUGUGUAAGUAACUAUGCCCGUCUUGACGGUACCUAAUCAGAAAGCCACGGCUAACUACGUG
rnacentral:rRNA from 1 species